CCUACGGGUGGCAGCAGUGAGGAAUAUUGGUCAAUGGGCGCGAGCCUGAACCAGCCAAGUAGCGUGAGGGAUGACUGCCCUACGGGUUGUAAACUUCUUUUAUAAAGGAAUAAAGUGAGGCACGUGUGCCGUUUUGUAUGUACUUUAUGAAUAAGGAUCGGCUAACUCCGUGCCAGCAGCCGCGGUAAUACGGAGGGUCCGAGCGUUAUCCGGAUUUAUUGGGGUUAAAGGGAGCGUAGAUGGGUUGUUAAGUCAGUUGUGAAAGUUUGCGGAUCAACCGUAAAAUUGCAAUUGAUACUGGCAGUCUUGAGUACAGUUGAGGCAGGCGGAAUUCGUGGUGUAGCGGUGAAAUGCUUAGAUAUCACGAAGAACUCCGAUUGCGAAGGCAGCCUACUAAACUGCCACUGACACUGAUGCUCGAAAGUGUGGGUAUCAAACAGGAUUAGAUACCCCUGUAGUC
rnacentral:rRNA from 1 species